rnacentral:rRNA from 1 species
UACGGAGGAGGCUAGCGUUGUUCGGAAUUACUGGGCGUAAAGCGCGCGUAGGCGGAUCUGCAAGUCGGGGGUGAAAUCCCGAGGCUCAACCUCGGAACUGCCUUCGAUACUGCGGGUCUCGAGUCCGGGAGAGGUGAGUGGAAUUCCUAGUGUAGAGGUGAAAUUCGUAGAUAUUAGGAAGAACACCAGUGGCGAAGGCGGCUCACUGGCCCGGUACUGACGCUGAGGCGCGAAAGCGUGGGGAGCAAACAGG